CCUACGGGGGGCAGCAGUCGAGAAUCAUUCACAAUGGGGGAAACCCUGAUGGUGCGACGCCGCGUGGGGGAAUGAAGGUCUUCGGAUUGUAAACCCCUGUCAUGUGGGAGCAAAUUAAAAAGAUAGUACCACAAGAGGAAGAGACGGCUAACUCUGUGCCAGCAGCCGCGGUAAUACAGAGGUCGCAAGCGUUGUUCGGAAUCACUGGGCGUAAGGCGUGCGUAGGCUGUUUCGUAAGUCGUGUGUGAAAGGCGCGGGCUCAACCCGCGGACGGCACAUGAUACUGCGAGACUAGAGUAAUGGAGGGGGAACCGGAAUUCUCGGUGUAGCAGUGAAAUGCGUAGAUAUCGAGAGGAACACUCGUGGCGAAGGCGGGUUCCUGGACAUUAACUGACGCUGAGGCACGAAGGCCAGGGGAGCGAAAGGGAUUAGAUACCCGUGUAGUC
rnacentral:rRNA from 1 species